UCCGGUUGAUCCUGCCGGACCUGACUGCUAUCGGAUUGAUACUAAGCCAUGCGAGUCAUUGUAGCAAUACAAGGCAUACGGCUCAGUAACGCGUAGUCAACCUAACCUAUGGACGGGAAUAACCUCGGGAAACUGAGAAUAAUGCCCGAUAGAACACUAUACCUGGAAUGGUUUGUGUUCCAAAUGAUUUAUCGCCAUAGGAUGGGACUGCGGCCUAUCAGUUUGUUGGUGAGGUAAUGGCCCACCAAGACUAUUACAGGUACGGGCUCUGAGAGGAGUAGCCCGGAGAUGGGUACUGAGACACGGACCCAGGCCCUAUGGGGCGCAGCAGGCGAGGAAACUUUGCAAUGUGCGAAAGCACGACAAGGUUAAUCCGAGUGAUUUGUGCUAAACGAAUCUUUUGUUAGUCCUAGAAACACUAACGAAUAAGGGGUGGGCAAGUUCUGGUGUCAGCCGCCGCGGUAAAACCAGCACCUCAAGUGGUCAGGAUGAUUAUUGGGCCUAAAGCAUCCGUAGCCGGCUCUGUAAGUUUUCGGUUAAAUCUGUACGCUUAACGUACAGGCUGCCGGGAAUACUGCAGAGCUAGGGAGUGGGAGAGGUAGACGGUACUCGGUAGGAAGUGGUAAAAUGCUUUGAUCUAUCGAUGACCACCUGUGGCGAAGGCGGUCUACCAGAACACGUCCGACGGUGAGGGAUGGAAGCUGGGGGAGCAAACCGGAUUAGAUACCCGGGUAGUCCCAGCUGUAAACUAUGCAAACUCAGUGAUGCAUUGGCUUGUGGCCAAUGCAGUGCUGCAGGGAAGCCGUUAAGUUUGCCGCCUGGGAAGUACGUACGCAAGUAUGAAACUUAAAGGAAUUGGCGGGGGAGCACCACAAGGGGUGAAGCCUGCGGUUCAAUUGGAUUCAACGCCA
rnacentral:rRNA from 1 species